rnacentral:rRNA from 1 species
UGGGGAAUAUUGGACAAUGGGCGCAAGCCUGAUCCAGCCAUGCCGCGUGAGUGAUGAAGGCCUUAGGGUUGUAAAGCUCUUUCGCCGGUGAAGAUAAUGACGGUAACCGGAGAAGAAGCCCCGGCUAACUUCGUGCCAGCAGCCGCGGUAAUACGAAGGGGGCUAGCGUUGCUCGGAAUUACUGGGCGUAAAGAGCACGUAGGCGGUUUCUUAAGUCGGGGGUGAAAUCCUGGAGCUCAACUCCAGAACUGCCUUCGAUACUGGGAAACUUGAGUUCGGGAGAUGUGAGUGGAACGGCGAGUGUAGAGGUGAAAUUCGUAGAUAUUCGCAAGAACACCAGUGGCGAAGGCGGCUCACUGACCCGAUACUGACGCUGUGGUGCGAAAGCGUGGGGAGCAAACA